rnacentral:rRNA from 1 species
UACAGAGGGUGCGAGCGUUGUCCGGAAUCACUGGGCGUAAAGGGCGCGUAGGUGGCUACCCAAGUCCGUGGUGAAAUCUCGUCGCUCAACGACGAGUCGGCCACGGAGACUGGGUGGCUCGAGCACUGUAGGGGCAGAUGGAAUUCCGGGUGUAGCGGUGGAAUGCGUAGAGAUCCGGAAGAACACCAGUGGCGAAGGCGGUCUGCUGGGCAGUUGCUGACACUGAUGCGCGACAGCGUGGGGAGCAAACAGGA